UGCCAGACUCCUACGGGAGGCAGCAGUGGGGAAUAUUGCACAAUGGGGGGAACCCUGAUGCAGCAACGCCGCGUGAAGGAAGAAGGCUUUCGGGUUGUAAACUUCUAUCAAUAGGGACGAAAAGAAUGACGGUACCUGACUAAGAAGCCCCGGCUAACUACGUGCCAGCAGCCGCGGUAAUACGUAGGGGGCAAGCGUUAUCCGGAUUUACUGGGUGUAAAGGGAGCGUAGACGGUGCAGCAAGUCUGAUGUGAAAGGUCGGGGCCCAACCCCGGGACUGCAUUGGAAACUGUUGAACUGGAGUACAGGAGAGGUAAGCGGAAUUCCUAGUGUAGCGGUGAAAUGCGUAGAUAUUAGGAGGAACACCAGUGGCGGAGGCGGCUUACUGGACGGUAACUGACGCUGAGGCUCGAAAGCGUGGGGAGCAAACAGGAUUAGAUACCCUUGUA
rnacentral:rRNA from 1 species